GCAUGUCUCAGUACAAGCCAAAUUAAGGUGAAACCGCGAAAGGCUCAUUAAAUCAGUUAUGGUUCCUUAGAUCGUACCCACAUUUACUUGGAUAACUGUGGUAAUUCUAGAGCUAAUACAUGCAAACAGAGCUCUGACUGGAGACGGAAGGAGCGCUUUUAUUAGAUCAAAAUCAAUCGGUGGCGGGCUCGCCCGUCAUCGUACAUUUGGGUGACUCGGAAUAUAUUUUGGCUGAUCGCACGGUCCAGCACCGGCGACGCAUCUUUCAAAUGUCUGCCUUAUCAACUGUCGAUGGUAGGUUCUGCGCCUACCAUGGUUGUAACGGGUAACGGGGAAUCAGGGUUCGAUUCCGGAGAGGGAGCCUGAGAAACGGCUACCACAUCCAAGGAAGGCAGCAGGCGCGCAAAUUACCCACUCCCGGCACNGGGAGGUAGUGACGAAAAAUAACGAUACGGGACUCAUCCGAGGCCCCGUAAUCGGAAUGAGUACACUCUAAACCCUUUAACGAGGAUCAAUUGGAGGGCAAGUCUGGUGCCAGCAGCCGCGGUAAUUCCAGCUCCAAUAGCGUAUAUUAAAGUUGUUGCGGUUAAAAAGCUCGUAGUCGAAUCUGUGUCCCGCGCCGCCGGUUCAUCGCUCGCGGUGUUUAACUGGCGUGUCCGCGGGACGUCCUGCCGGUGGGCUCAACCCGCGUCCGCGCGGGGGCGGCCCAACUUCAAUCCCACUGCGGUGCUCUUGACUGAGUGUCGGGGUGGGCCGGCACGUUUACUUUGAACAAAUUAGAGUGCUUAAAGCAGGCUAAAACUUUGCCUGAAUANUGUGUGCAUGGAAUAAUGGAAUAGGACCUCGNUUNUAUUUUGUUGGUUUUUUUGCCAAAAACGCUUUCAUUGAUCAAGAACGAAAGUUAGAGGUUCGAAGGCGAUCAGAUACCGCCCUAGUUCUAACCAUAAACGAUGCCAGCUAGCGAUCCGNCGACGUUCCUCCGAUGACUCGGCGGGCAGCUUCCGGGAAACCAAAGCUUUUGGGUUCCGGGGGAAGUAUGGUUGCAAAGCUGAAACUUAAAGGAAUUGACGGAAGGGCACCACCAGGAGUGGAGCCUGCGGCUUAAUUUGACUCAACACGGGAAACCUCACCAGGCCCGGACACCGGAAGGAUUGACAGAUUGAGAGCUCUUUCUUGAUUCGGUGGGUGGUGGUGCAUGGCCGUUCUUAGUUGGUGGAGCGAUUUGUCUGGUUAAUUCCGAUAACGAACGAGACUCUAGCCUGCUAACUAGGCGUACUUUCGACAUCUCAAAGGCCCGCUGGCCCGGCAUCCGUGCCGACGUCACGCGCGGUUUUUACUGUCGGCGUAUAAUUAAUUCUUCUUAGAGGGACAGGCGGCGUCUAGCCGCACGAGAUUGAGCAAUAACAGGUCUGUGAUGCCCUUAGAUGUUCUGGGCCGCACGCGCGCUACACUGAAGGAAUCAGCGUGUCCUCCCUGGCCGAGAGGCCCGGGUAACCCGCUGAACCUCCUUCGUGCUAGGGAUUGGGGCUUGCAAUUGUUCCCCAUGAACGAGGAAUUCCCAGUAAGCGCGAGUCAUAAGCUCGCGUUGAUUACGUCCCUGCCCUUUGUACACACCGCCCGUCGCUACUACCGAUUGAAUGAUUUAGUGAGGUCUUCGGACCGGUACGCGGUGGCGCUAGCGCGUCGCCGAUGUUGCUGGGAAGAUGACCAAA
rnacentral:rRNA from 1 species